rnacentral:rRNA from 1 species
CGUAGGGUGCGAGCGUUAAUCGGAAUUACUGGGCGUAAAGCGUGCGCAGGCGGUUUUGUAAGACAGGCGUGAAAUCCCCGGGCUCAACCUGGGAACUGCGCUUGUGACUGCAAGGCUAGAGUACGGCAGAGGGGGGUGGAAUUCCACGUGUAGCAGUGAAAUGCGUAGAGAUGUGGAGGAACACCAAUGGCGAAGGCAGCCCCCUGGGUCGAUACUGACGCUCAUGCACGAAAGCGUGGGUAGCAAACAGGAUUAGAUACCCUGGUAGUCCACGCCCUAAACGAUGUCAACUAGGUGUUGGGUGGGUAAAACCAUUUAGUACCGGAGCUAACGCGUGAGGUUGACCGCCUGGGGAGUACGGCCGCAAGGUUA